AUGGCUGGUGUUGCUAGGAAAGGGAGGUCCAAGUGGGACACACAGGAAAUUUCUCCUGAUAUUGUUGAGAUCAGUGAAGAUGACUCUCCUCCUAAGAAUACAGAUGAUCGCCACAAAGAUGUGAUCCCUACUCAGGAUCUCACUAAUGAUAAUGGAAAGCGACUUGGUGAAUCUUCGAACCUAAAACCUGAUGCCUUCUUGCACCAAGGCAGUACUGAAUACGAGCAGGAACGCACUGAUGGGUUAAAUAAAGAUGUCAAGGAAAGGCAAUCUAAAGCGUCAUCUGAAAGGUCGCAUGCUCCUAGAAUGGCUGAAGAGGGGCAUAAUAAUGAUGACUGGGGUAAGUUAGCUUCUUUGGAAAAGGCAACUGGUAACCAAGCUAUGAGUAGAAAUGCUGAUGACAGAAGACGUGGAGAUGGAUGGGGAACAGCUGCUAGCCGUGGUUAUUCUUCUAGGGUGUCGUCUGGUCCAGAUGCAUGGAAGCAGCGCACUCGAAGUCCAUCUCCAAGAGGUGCUUGGAACAGGUCACGCAGGAACAGAAGUGGCUCCAGAAGCAGGAGUAGAGAGCGAGUUAGAGGGAGAAGCAGAAGUCGAAGCCGGAGUCCUUAUUUUGACCGUGGAUCUGAUUGGAGGGCUGAGAGAGGCAGAAUAUCUGGAGGGCCUUCUUUGCUCUGCAGAGAUUUUACAGCUGGUAGAUGCAGAAGAGGCUUGCAUUGCAGGUUUCCUCAUGAAGAUGGUGGGCGAAGGCAGUUUGACGAGCCUUAUCCCGCAGACUCGAGGGAAAGGUAUGGCCAUCAGAACAAGGAUUUCAUGGAUCCACGAGAACCAGAUGACUAUGUACGGAGCAGGCAACCUCGAGGUCAUUUUGAUGAAGGUACUUGGGAAAGAUCUGAACCCCGAAGAGAUUACAGGGCUUCUGAUCAAUGCCAUGAGUUUGUCAAAGGAAGGUGCAGCAGAGGUGCAAGUUGCAGAUAUAUUCAUGAUGAGUCCGCUUCUCAUGCUGGAUGGAGAGAUGAUGCUAGGGAAACAGCUCAUGUGAGAGGUGGUCCUGAUUCAUCCUUUGGGAAUAGGACAGAGCACCGUAGAGAACAAAAAAGGCCCUGUAAAUUUUUUGCUGAAGGUCGCUGCCGUCGUGGUGAAACUUGUCCAUAUCUCCAUGAGGAAGCUCCCCAGAGUCAAAUGGGUCCAGGUGCAUCUGAUGAGCCUCCAAAAUACAGUGGUGGGCGCACACCAAGAGGAAAUUAUUCAAAUUGGGGCGAAGAAACUAAUGCCACACAUGCAGGUUCUCAUAUUUUAUCCAGAGAUGACAGGGAAAACCCUAGUUCUCAGCAUACUGCCAGAAGUGAUACUGGAUAUGGGUACAAAAACCGGCAAUUGGAAGAUGCUGGAAGGGAUCAGUACCAGAUAAUUCCUCAGGAGGAAUUUGGUUCACAAGGGCGAAACAAACCUGAAAUGGCUGCUUCAAAACAGCCACAGUUUCUAAGUCCUAUCCAAACAAGUGCAGAUAGCAUGAACAAUGACAAGGUAUCUGACAUGGAUGGUCUAAGUGCAUCUGCUACCACUGGCAAUUUGAGUAUGCAAACUGGGAUACAUGCUGCUAAUCUUUUAGGUGGGCAGAGCUUGAGCCAAAUAGCGCAGAGCCAAGAUGCAGUUCCUCAAACUUCUGGGGCACCAACUCAUCCAGUCACAAGCCAGCAGCAGGAUGCUACAUCCAUGUUGCCUUUUAAUAUCCAACCGCAUGAAAGCAACUUCUCAUUACAUCCGAACAGGCAAGACCAGUUUAGCAACUUCUCAUUACAUCCAGACAGGCAAGAUCAAUUUGUAGCUUCUCAGGCAACUGCAAAUAACUCAGCUCCUAGCAUGCAGAAUCAGCCAGUAGCAGCUCCUAGCAUGCAGAAUCAGCCAGUAGCAGCUCCUUAUAUGGGACACGGCCAACACAGCUACACUCUAGGUUCACAGGCAUUGCCUGCAUUUAAUGGACAUAAUUUCAGUGUUGCUGGUCAAGUUCUGCAAGAUCGCCCAACGCCUUUCUAUGCUGGGCAGAGUCAGGCAACUGUUGACAUGUCCAAUCCUAACCAAGAGAGUGGUACUCACAGCAUGCAAAACACACAUAGUUUCCAGCCCGUUGCUCCAAAUAUGCAAGCUCACAGUCAAGCCUUGCAGGGGCUAUCUGGAGUGCCUAGCCAAGAUACCGGUACCCAAAGCAUACAGAACGCACACAAUUUCCAGCCCGUUGCUCCUCCAUAUAUGCAAAGCCGGGGUCAAACCUUGCAGGGUUUAUCGAUAUUGCCAAGCUCCAGCUCAUCUGAUAAGCCUGGUGCUCCCCUUGUUCCUCCUAAUGAGGAAGAAAUUCGCCGUUCAUUAACAUCUCUGGCGGCAACCCUCAUAAUGCAGCCUGGUACAGGUGCUGGACUACAGUUGCCCCAGCCUAUUCUGAAUCCGAGCUUGAUGGCCAGUUUGUCAGCUGUUGAACCCAGUCAGUGGCCUUGGGCACAGCAGCAACAGGCAGGAACGACCCAACUCGCGCGGUCUGAACAGCAAGCUCCCCAGCAGACAUUGCCGGCACCAUCUACGGCAGUUGGUAGUAGUAAUGGCAACAACCCAGCGCCCCAGUCGGUCGGUCAGACCGCUGCGACAUCAGUGGUUACUGCGCCACAGGCUGCAGAAAAUAAGAAAGUAGAGGCCAAAGCCAAAGAUAGCGAUGGCGAGCAAGAUGGUGACAAGAAUAAAAAGGGCAACAAGGAGGAGUCCAAGGCGCUGAAGAUGUUCAAACUCGCGCUCGCAGACUUUGUGAAGGACGCGCUCAAACCUACCUGGAAAGAGGGCCAGCUGACCAGGGAGGUUCACAAGACCAUCGUGAAGAAGGUCGUCGACAAAGUCACGAGCACGGUCGAGAACACCCCUCCAACAAAAGAGAAGAUCGAUGUCUACAUGUCCUACUCAAAGGAAAAACUGAGCAAACUUGUACAGGCGUAUGUCGGCAAGUAUGUCAAGGCGUAG
rnacentral:rRNA from 1 species